UACGUAGGUGACAAGCGUUGUCCGGAUUUACUGGGCGUAAAGAGCGCGCAGGCGGUCGUUCAAGUCGAGUGUGAAAGCCCCCGGCUCAACUGGGGAGGGUCAUUCGAUACUGAUCGACUCGAAGGCAGGAGAGGGAAGUGGAAUUCCCGGUGUAGUGGUGAAAUGCGUAGAUAUCGGGAGGAACACCAAGUGGCGAAGGCGGACUUCCUGGCCUGUUCUUGACGCUGAGGCGCGAAAGCUAGGGGAGCAAACGGGG
rnacentral:rRNA from 1 species